rnacentral:lncRNA from 1 species
CCCAUAAUACCAACCUAUCUCUACAGGAGAAGCUGUCCGUGGCUCCGGUAGUGAAGAAAGCCUCCUACAUCAGACAUCAACAAGAAUCCGGGUGACCAAUCCGGAUCCGGAUCGUCACCUGACGACAGAGACCUUCAGUCAGACACUGGGUCCUGACGACAGAGAGGCCUUCAGUCAGACACUGGGUCCUGACGAGACAGAGAGGCCUUCAGUCAGACACUGGGUCCUGAGACAGAGAGGCCUCAGUCAGACACUGGGGAUGAACAUUAAAGUAGUGGAGGAGAGCUGGAGGACUUGAGUCAAACGUUUGGGAUGACGGUUAAAGAAGAAGAGGAAGAGGUGGAGCUGGAGGACUUGAGUCAAACGGUUGGAUGACGGUUAAGAAGAAGAGGAUGAGGAAGUCAGCCAGAUUCAUUCAGGUCCCCAGUAGAAGAAGUGGACUGGGAGGCUGUUGAACUUGGUAAGUAGAGGGAGGGAGUCUGUUGAACUUAAAGAAACAUGAAGUAAUCAGGACUUACUAUCUCGGUGUCCCAAAUGGCAUCCUACCCCCUACUUAGACCAGAGUUCAAUAGGGAAUAGGGUGCCAUCCU